UUGAUGCUUCAUGACAGUGGAGUUUACUGGUGUGAGUCCAGAAAGGGUCCCAUCAGUAACAUGGUUAACCUGACAGUCACUGGUGGAUCAGUGAUCCUGCAGAGUCCUGUCCUCCCUGUGAUGGAGGGAGAUGACGUCACUCUGCUCUGUAAAACAAAGACCACUCCCUCCAACCUCCCAGCUGCUUUCUAUAAAGAUGGCUCCCUCAUCAGGAAGCAGCCUACAGGUCACAUGACCAUCCAGCAUGUUUCCAGGUCUGAUGAAGGCCUCUACAAGUGUGACAUCAGCGGUCAUGGAGAGUCUCCAUCCAGCUGGAUCACUGUCACAGACAAACACACCACCACACCUCCACCUACAUCCACACCUCCUCCUGUUCUCUCUCUGUUGUCAUGUGUUGGAUCAGUCUGUGUUGUGGUUCUACUGGU